rnacentral:rRNA from 1 species
CGUGUAGGCGGUCAGGUAAGUGGAAUGUGAAAUGCCCCGGCUCACCCGGGGACCGGCAUCCCAAACUGCCUGGCUUGAGUAUGGGAGAGGAUGGAGGAAUUCCUGGUGUAGCGGUGAAAUGCGUAGAUAUCAGGAGGAACACCGGUGGCGAAGGCGUCCAUCUGGCCCAAUACUGACGCUGAGGCGCGAAAGCUAGGGGAGGCAAACG